AGAACACACAACCCAGUUAAUUAAACUAUAUGUAUCAUGAUCAGGAGGCUCCAAUGUGUGCAUUUGCUGUACAGAUUCUGCAUCUUUAAGGACUACUGCAUUCUACUGCAUCUUUAAGGUUAAGACAUCACUUCUAAUCCAACUUGAAAAAGAAUGAAAACAUUUUGAGUAAAACUUGCCCAUUUGAUGACAGAGUUGUGUCAAAUUUGCCAUUUUUGUGCACACUUGUGGUAACAAAUACAUAUGAAACAAUAUGAAACAACCAGCUAAUAUCUGCCCCCUUCUAUGAGUAAAAAAUUCCUGCCUUUUUAUAGAAAAGUACAUAUAAGAAACCCACCCCCUCUCCUUUUGAAGCCCUUUUUUUCUGUUUCAAAGCAAAUAAACUAAUGUGUAAUAAACUAUUGAAUUUAUUAUUUGGGUGCAAGUACAUUGGGUAGUAAUUAUUGAUUCUACCUUAUUUUUAGUUAUGUACGGAAUAGUAUGAUUGACGUUUGCAUAAAAGAAACAUUAAGAGCAUGUUGAUGGGGGGUCGUUUUAUUAUUAGAUUAUGUGAGACGAGACAAAACAAAACAAGUGAGUUGUGAGCGUG